rnacentral:lncRNA from 1 species
UGGGGGUGGGUUUGAUAUAUUUGGAGGAAGUGUACUAUACUGGCAGCUCUGUUGCAAUUUCUGUUAGUGCUGCAACUGGUACUAUAUUUGGAGUGUAGGGAUGGGUGGGUCGAUUUUAUCCUCACAUGGAGUGCAGGGCUGGACGGAGUGGAGUGUAGAGGAUGGAUGGGUAGGACUUCUUUUGUAUUACCAAUUUUGUUACUGUAAUGGACUAAGGCCCA